UUAUAUGGUCAAGAAGAGAAGCGCAAACGGUGGAUGCCUUGGCAGUAAGAGGCGAAGAAGGACGUGGAAUCCUGCGAAAAGCUAUGGGGAGCUGGAAACGAGCGAUGAGCCAUAGAUGUCCGAAUGGGGGAACCCGGCUGCAGCGAUGCGGUCAUUUGCAUUUGAAUACAUAGGAUGCAAAGGCGAACUCGGGGAACUGAAACAUCUAAGUACCCGAAGGAAAAGAAAUCAAGAGAGAUUCUCCAAGUAGCGGCGAGCGAACGGGGAGGAGCCUGGCGUGAUUUAUUAUUGAACUGAGUAGAACAAUUUGGGAAAGUUGGCGAUAGAGGGUGAAAGCCCCGUAUACGAAGGUUUGAUGAGGAACUAGGCACGCGAGCAAGUAGGCCGGGACACGUGAAAUCCUGGUUGAAGAUGGGUGGACCAUCAUCCAAGGCUAAAUACUACUUACUGACCGAUAGUGAACCAGUACCGUGAGGGAAAGGUGAAAAGAACCCCGGAGAGGGGAGUGAAAUAGAAUCUGAAACCGUUUGCGUACAAGCAGUGGGAGCAUGGUUUAGGCUGUGUGACUGCGUACCUUUUGUAUAAUGGGUCAGCGAGUUACUUUCAGUGGCGAGGUUAACUGAAUAAGGGAGCCGUAGAGAAAUCGAGUCUGAAUAGGGCGAUAGUCGCUGGGAGUAGACCCGAAACCGGGCGAUCUAGCCAUGUGCAGGAUGAAGGUUGGGUAACACCAACUGGAGGUCCGAACCGGGUAAUGUUGAAAAAUUAUCGGAUGACGUGUGGCUAGGAGUGAAAGGCUAAUCAAGCCCGGAGAUAGCUGGUUCUCCCCGAAAGCUAUUUAGGUAGCGCCUCGUGAAUGAUUACUGGGGGUAGAGCACUGUUUCGGCUAGGGGGCUGUCAUGGCUUACCAAACCGAUGCAAACUCCGAAUACCGGCUAAUUGAAUCACGGGAGACACACGGCGGGUGCUAACGUCCGUCGUGGAGAGGGAAACAACCCAGACCGCCAGCUAAGGUCCCCAAGUACUAGUUAAGUGGGAAACGAUGUGGGAAGGCAUAGACAGCCAGGAGGUUGGCUUAGAAGCAGCCACCCUUUAAAGAAAGCGUAAUAGCUCACUGGUCGAGUCGGCCUGCGCGGAAGAUGUAACGGGGCUAAAACUAGUCACCGAAGCUGCGGAUGUGCGCGAAGGCGCACGUGGUAGGGGAGCGUUCUGUAGGCUGAUGAAGGUGCAUUGAGAAGUGUGCUGGAGGUAUCAGAAGUGCGAAUGCUGACAUGAGUAACGAUAAUGUGGGUGAAAAGCCCACACGCCGGAAGUCCCAGGUUUCCUGCACGACGUUAAUCGGAGCAGGGUGAGUCGGCCCCUAAGGCGAGGCUGAAGAGCGUAGUCGAUGGGAACCAGGUUAAUAUUCCUGGACUUUUUAUAAGUGGUGAAGUGGGGACGAAGAAGGCUAGGUGAGCCAGGCGUUGGUUGUCCUGGUACUUGCAUGUAGGGGGGAAGACUUGGCAAAUCCGGUUUUCCAUAACUCUGAGGUGCGAAGUGGUUCUGACCUUUUGGUACAGAGAAGUCAUUGAUGCCCGGCUUCCAGGAAAAGCUGCUAGCCAUAACUUAUAGAGAACCGUACCGCAAACCGACACAGGUGGACAGGUAGAGAAUACUAAGGCGCUUGAGAGAACUCGGGUGAAGGAACUAGGCAAAAUGGUACCGUAACUUCGGGAGAAGGUACGCCCUUUCUGGUGAUGGGAUUUACUUUCAGAGCUGGAGAGGGCCGCAGAGACCAGGUGGCUGCGACUGUUUAUUAAAAACACAGCACUCUGCAAAUUCGUAAGAAGACGUAUAGGGUGUGACGCCUGCCCGGUGCCGGAAGGUUAAUUGAUGGGGUUAUCUUCGGAGAAGCUCUUGAUCGAAGCCCCGGUAAACGGCGGCCGUAACUAUAACGGUCCUAAGGUAGCGAAAUUCCUUGUCGGGUAAGUUCCGACCUGCACGAAUGGCGUAACGAUGGCCACACUGUCUCCACCCGAGACUCAGUGAAAUUGAAAUCGCUGUGAAGAUGCAGUGUACCCGCGGCUAGACGGAAAGACCCCGUGAACCUUUACUAUAGUUUUGCACUGGACUUUGAUGAUGACUGUGUAGGAUA
rnacentral:rRNA from 1 species